GGAGAGGUGGCCGAGCGGUUUAAGGCGCACGCUUGGAGAGCGUGUAUACUUUCGGGUAUCGUGGGUUCGAAUCCCACUCUCUCCG
rnacentral:tRNA from 1 species